CAUCUCUGCAAAAUUUCAGCCAAUUUGGUGAUCGUUAAGUUCCUCAAACUCGAGUUUUUCUGGUAUGAACACAACCAGACAGAAUUCAAUCCGUCCAUUUGUUUUUCGAGUUUGAGGGGCUUAACGAUUACCAAAUUAGGUGAAAUUUUUCAGAGAUG
rnacentral:pre_miRNA from 1 species